AAGCGCCACACCAUAAUGGUCCCGCUAGCAGCCAGCCCUAGGUCAUGGUGAGUGGGACACGUGGCGGGUGCUGGUGGACUUAGGGAUAUCCGCCACCAUAACUGCGCCAGGCCCCAUCGCUUAUUUAAGCCCCCCUCCUUCCCUCCAGGGGCUUCACUUCGCCUGAGAGUCGACACCUUUCUUCUGCCUGAGAGUUUAGUCACUCCAUCGGUGCCCUUUUCAACUCUAAGCACUCUUCGCACC
rnacentral:lncRNA from 1 species